rnacentral:rRNA from 1 species
UACGUAGGGGGCUAGCGUUGUCCGGAAUCAUUGGGCGUAAAGCGCACGUAGGCGGAUGUGUCAGUCAGGGGUGAAAUCCCGGAGCUCAACUUCGGAACUGCCUUUGAUACAGCACGUCUUGAGUCCGAUAGAGGUGGGUGGAAGUUCCUAGUGUAGAGGUGAAAUUCGUAGAUAUUAGGAAGAACACCGGUGGCGAAGGCGGCCCACUGGAUCGGUACUGACGGCUGAGGUGCGAAAGCGUGGGGAGCAAACAGG